rnacentral:lncRNA from 1 species
UUGAAGUCAGGCCACUUGUGCCACGGCUUGAGCAAACCGUGCUGCCUGUAGCUCCGCCAAUAACGGGAGGCGUAAUAAUCCCGGGGAGGCCAUGCGCCACGGAAGCUGUACGCGUGGCAUAUUGGACUAGCGGUUAGAGGAGACCCCUCCCAUCACCAACUAAACGCAGCAAAAAGGGGGCCCGAAGCCAGGAGGAAGCUGUACUCCUGGUGGAAGGACUAGAGG